UUAUGGCCAUAUCAUGUUGAAAUACCGGUUUUCGUACGAUCACCAAAGUUAAGCGACGUCGAGCCUGGUCACUAGAUGGGUGACUGCUUGGGAAUAGCAGAUGCUGUAAG